UUAGUAACAUGCUUUGGUCGAAAAUGCUUAAGGAUUGAGCACAGCAAGGUUCUUGAAACACCAGUUUCACAGCCCUGCUCCAGGUGGCCGGUUUCAGUGCCUCUCCCUUUAAAUGCUAAUGAGCGACUAUGUGCCCCGCGUGAGGGCGGCAUUGUGUGACCAUGGCAACGGCUGAGUUACCGGAAGAAAUGGCCGUCGGACAACAAACUGCGGUGCAACCGUACAUGUUCGAGCCGGAGUCCGACCCAGAACAACAAGAGGCUCCAGAAGAAGUUCAGCAGCCAAGAAUGAACAUGGAUGUUUCUCAGUGGUUAGCAGUUUACUUUUUUUUUUUUACCUUGACAUUACUUGUUACUUGUUACUGCAUAGACAAACGAAAGUUUUACGGGCUUAGUAGCCGUCUGCCCCGCGCUGUUACAGAUCACAACCCCCUUCUCCUGCCUCGAGUGUUCACAUAACAAAGCUUAGCCAAACCUCGACUGGCGUUUACUGCUCUGCAGUUGCAGUAACGCGGAUGCAAUUUAGCAAUUGUUAUAAGAGAAAAGCGUUACCCCGUAUUAUUAUUUACCUUUAUGUGGCCAGGUAAGUCAAUUGAGAACCUGCUCUUAUUUGCAGGGACGACCUGUAAUCAGCUAGCAAUGUCCAAAAACUGUAGUUUUCAAUAAGCCACAGUUGCCUCCCGUCACCUCUCUACCAGCAGUAUUGUUUUUGAACCGGUUCCAACAGUUUAUAAACUUUAAAUAUUAUAAAAGAAACAACGCAACGUGAUUGAUUGGCUAUGUAGUUUCCAAUGAAUGAUAUAAAUUCUGCUUAAAAACAGUUGUUCCUGUGGCAAUUGUGAACAAGUGGCUACAGAGCCCGAGAAUAUCUGCUGUAUGGAAAUACCACAGGUUACACGAAGACUAAGUUACAGCAGCUUCCUGAACAGCCAUCAUGCAUGCUGGACCAUCCUGGCCUUGAACCUGUCUGCCUGAAUGUGUUUUCACUGCAGAAUGCACUGAACAUUUAUCGGGCAGACUACGGACCUUUACGUCUGAGAAUAGUGUACCAAUAUAGAUACCUAGCCUACAGAAGCUUUGUAAGCUGGUGCUGGUGCUUUCUGGGGUGGAGAGUGAGAGCUGUGCUGCCUGCCUGCGUGGUGCUGAGGAUUCGUGCAGAGUUCCCUGAUGCUGAAGGACAGUAUGUUAGGUUCAGUCCUGUCCUUGAUUGAACCUUGGCACGUAACUGGCUAUAACAUCCAGCUUGUUGGGUCUUUCAUACUGAGCCAAGAGGUCUUCAGGGAUUGUAAGUUUCAGCACCUCGUUCACAUAUGGGCCAGGGUCCUGGAAAACCUUCUUGAAGAUCAGGUCCAACAGUGCAUCAAUGUAGU